rnacentral:lncRNA from 1 species
UUAAUGUUAAAGUUAUUUCUUUUGCUAUUUCAGUACUUUAGUCUUUGAAACCUGAAUAUGUAUUUCAUUGUAUAAUUUACUGUUAGGUCACCCUCGUCGACUGAAAGUGAAACCUGAUUCUGAAAUUUUAGUUAUAGAAAAUGGAACAGCUUUCCCAUUUCAGGUGGAAGUUUUAGAUGAAUCAGACAACAUAACAGCACAACCAAAAUUGAUUGUUCAUUGUAAGGUAAGCUUAUUGGAAGAUAUUUAGAUUGAGUCCCAUUGUAGUAAGUGGCAAUGACUAUUUUAGCCACUUAAUAGUAAGUCUUACACAGGAUUUAAGUCUGAAACGAUUAUUCCGUGGAAGGAUUUGUGGGAUCUUAUUGCCAAUAGUUUUUUUUUUUUAAUCGUACCUAAACCAAUAAAGAUGCCAACUGUGCCCAGUUUCAUAAAUUUGUGAAUAAAAGUUUACUCACCUCUC